UACGAAGGGGGCUAGCGUUGUUCGGAAUCACUGGGCGUAAAGGGCGCGUAAGCGGCCGAUCAAGUCGGGGGUGAAAGCCUGUGGCUCAACCACAGAAUUGCCUUCGAUACUGUUUGGCUUGAGACCGGAAGAGGUAAGUGGAACUGCGAGUGUAGAGGUGAAAUUCGUAGAUAUUCGCAAGAACACCAGUGGCGAAGGCGGCUUACUGGUCCGGUUCUGACGCUGAGGCGCGAAAGCGUGGGGAGCAAACAGG
rnacentral:rRNA from 1 species